rnacentral:lncRNA from 10 species
GCCCGCUUCGGCGGCCACGCCCCCAGCGGGGAGCCGGUCCACGUGGGGCGGGACAGCCCCCUCCCUGCGGCCUCGCCCUGGAGUCUCGGCACCGUCUGGCCCCGCCGGCUGAUUACAGCCAGAGAUCGAGGGGGACCUCGCUGUCCCCCUAGAGGCCGUCAUGCGGGGUUACAGAGGCUGCGACCAAAGUCAUUCCUAGCUCCUCUCUCGGGGCUCCGGAAAGCCGUCCGCGCCUCCAGCCGCACUUUCAGCGCACGCAGGACCUGCCGCGCCCGGUGGCCACACCCGUCCCUCUGCCGGGUGACGCUGCGGGAGAUCUUGCGCCCUGGGGCUCCGGAUCCAGUUCUGGCACGUUGUUGCACCUGUGACUUGUCCUUGGCCUGGCACUGUCCCUCGCCUGGGGGAAGCGGGGGGGUGGGGGGGGGAUGCUCACGUGGUCGCUUUGCUCCCGCAGUCAUGCACUUGGGUGAAAACAGACUGAAGAGUCACGGGAACCAGCUUGUCUCCCCAGUUAUGGCGCAGAGCUGCAAGGAUGGCUGUGGGUCAUUAAUUUCUCCGUGGCUGACCUGUGUUUGUAACGCCGCAGCUGUUGCGAGGGGGAAGGACACUGCUUCGGAUUCAAAUUCUGACUCCUUGCUGCAGUGUGUCACCUUGAGCCAGUCCCAGAUCUCUGCGUUCUCACAAUUGUAAAAUGUUAACAGAGGCUGCCUACCUUGUGGCUGGAAUUAAAUGAAUUAACGUGUGUGAAUGUGACUAGAAUUCAGUACAUGUUCAGGAAAAGCUGAUUUCCGCUUUGCUGUUACCGUGAAUAUUACUGUUUUAGGGUGUAGAAAAGGGUGGAAGGGGAUGUUAUUGCAUCCUGGAAGCUUAUCCUUUUGAGGUAAAGAUUGAUUUCUGGUCCCCUGCGUGGUAUAUAGUGUAGUUUUGACAUUAUUUAGAUGUGUUAUGCACAUUUGGGUGUUGAUUAUAUGGCUUACGAUCAAGACUAACCAGUCAUGCCGUGGGAGAUUAAGGUCGUGGUCUCUUGUCAGGAUUGUAGUGAGAUUUAAAAAUUCCAGCCAGAAAUACCAGGCUUAGAAUGCUCUGAAGCCCUCCCCACAUUUUUGCCAUCUCUAGCAGGAGGGCACUGCAUAGCAGAAACAAAGACGUUGUAAAUUGUUGCUGCCUGAGUCAUUUAUAGAGGCUUAAACAACCUGAAUGUCCUCUGACCUACCUGUAACAUUUGAUGGAGUUGUAUGAGUAACUUACAAAGCUGUAGGUCCCAAGGUCGGUCUGAAAAAGAAAGUUCAUAUCCGGGAGCACUGACCCCGUAGUGUAAUCCUGGCACCUUAAAACGUACUGCUCCCUCCACCUUCACUUCAAGGUUAUGAAAACAUUGAGUAAAAGGGAUGAUCUGUUCAAAGUCCUUAGUGUUCUGCCAAUUUAAAACAGUAAUUUUCAAAGCAGUUAUUUGCAAGGAAAUUGCCUAGAACUUCUCCCAGUGUGCGGUUGUUUUGUGUGUUUGUGUGUGUGUUUUGUUUGUUUGUUUUCAGUCUGUCCACAGGCGUACUUUUAUAGGUCUGUGAUAGUAGGUAGCUCUUCAAGUUGGCAAACACCUGCUGGACAACCCCUGAGAGAUUCAUCUGAGUGAGAGAGCACUCUCCAGCCCCAUCGGAGUGGGUUUGCAGGGAAAUCAUAAGGAAGAAAUCCUUAUCUUUCCAACACUGAGAUGCUUCUGCCGAAGAGUAGAAUGGGAGUGAGGGGACACGCAAAACGGGCUGCUGCCGGAGGAAGAGGAACAGUGUUGUGGCUCAUGCCAUAUGAAUGGGCUCACUGGCCUGGCCCAGACCCUGACUGCCCACAGGAUCUUUGUUCAGAGAGGCACAGUCAAGGAAAUGCAUUUGAGGUCACUGUUCGAUGUACUUGAAGUACUCAUCCUGGAAAUAGUCUACUUGGAGUAGAGGGAGCUCAAGUGGGCAUGGGAACGUUGUGGAACCAGACCAGGAACAAAGGCGGCUUCAGAGGCCGUCUGUGAGGACUUGCAUGGGAGCAGGGGCGAGAACAUCCAGGGAAGAGAAGGUAGGAGCCUUGGAGUAAAGGAGAACCAGCUCCUCUCCACCCACCAAUGCCCUCCCCAUCCCCAGAUGAAUGAGACAGAGAAACGGAGGCACAGAGAAGGAAGCGGCAGUUAAAGCUGCGAAGAACCUAACAAAUUUCAAGAUUGUAAGUGCCUUUUCCCAGGAUGCCAGCAAGUACUGAGGCAAGUAUGAUUGCCCCCUGUAUUUUGAGCUGCAUCAAACCCUGUUGGAAUAAAAAAGGACAUUUCUAGGAGAUCAGUCUUCGAGAUUGGCCCCAGUUUCCCCAGAGUAGGAAGAGGCAGGAAGCCAGAGCACAUGUUCUCUCCAGAAAUAAAGUUGUUGCAGUGGCCUAACCGUGUCUUAGAGUUACUGAAAACUCUGUUCUCUUGAGAUUUCUCAAGAAAGGAAACCUAUCUUGCAAGACAAAACCCACCUGUAGUCAAUUCCUACAGGAAAUAAAUUCAAAAUAAUGUUUCAGGCAAGGGC